rnacentral:lncRNA from 1 species
AGGGAUCAUACGCGCGAAAAUAAUUGUUCGGGAUCCAAGAAAAAGCAAAAAAAAAAUCAAUCAAAGAAGUACCGGGGUUCAAGAGAAGAAAAACAUCAACAAGUUUUGGGGUUCAAAAAAAGCAAAAAAAAUAUAAUAAUCCCCAACGGAGCGCAAAUUGUUCGUCUGUUCUUGGUAUUCAAUCACUUUUCACCCUGAUCAUCUGAAAGCCGAGGCUGUUCAUAUCGACAGGUUCACAGUGGAUUGAAUAAGGGCAACUGUAACAC